AUGCUCUCCGGUCGCCAUCCUCGCAGGCCGUUCUCGUCACCGGUCGUCCUCGUCGCCGGUCAUCUUCGCCGGCGGUCCUCGUCGCCGGUCGUCCUCGCCGGCAGUCCUUGCAGGUCGUCCUCGUCGCCGGUCGUCCUCGCAGUCGCCGGCGGUCCUGGCAGGCCGUCCUCGUCGCCGGUCGUCCUCGCACUCGCUGGUCGUCCUGGCAGGCCGUCCUCGUCGCCGGUUGCAGCAUCGAAUGGUGUGACGCCGCUCGUCAUAAACGGUGGUAGCAAAAUCAUGUACCGUUCCAGCAAAAACAAAACACGAUGGAAGCAAAAAGUGAGGCACAGAUUCCAGGCAAAAACACAACACACAACACGGUGGAAGCAAAAAAAGAUGAAAACGCUGGUUCCAGCAAAAACACAACAUGGUGGAAGCAAAAUGAGAUGCCGGUUCCAGCAAAACAAAGACAGAUGGUAG
rnacentral:rRNA from 1 species